UUCUCCCUCUGCUUCUCAGUGACUGGCAGCGGCUGCCUGGAGGUUGUGUUAGGAAGGCAUUGUAGGGUACCCUAAGCUGGUUGAUGAAGUGUACCGUGAGGAGCAAUUUGUGAUCCCAAGAAGGCAAAAUUCAUCAAAUAUUUUUCCUAAGAUUAUCUGCAUCUGGAAAAGACACUUACGUGCCCCAGCAAAAUCUUUCAAGCAGUACAAAGAAUACAAUGUGAUUUCAUAUACUACUUGUUUUCUAGUGAACGACAAUGAAUAUAAGGAAAAAUGCACGUUCCCAAUACCUGGCAUGAUCAAAUGUUUUACGUAAUAUGGAUUUAAAAACAACAACAACGAAUCACUCCCCAAGAACCCACACACGUUUGUAACUGAGCAACUUGUAAUCGACCAACAAAGUGUAAGCAAGCAAGGCAAUUUUCUCAGCUAGUUUGUCUUACGGGCAAGCUGCAGUUUGCUGUUACAGAGAAAGGAUCGAUUAUUUUAUUAUUUAUCUUAAAAAGUAAACGUAUAAAAGCCAUAAAAGAAUCAUAAAUCUAAACUUUUAUAUUAAAAAAACGUCAUUUCUACUUUAAA